GCUUGAGCUUAAAGGGAUAUUCCGGCUUAAAUUUAAGUUAUGGUCAAACACACCGUAACACUGAGUUAGACACCCCCCUCGAGAGAUGAAUGUUGCAGACUGCUUGCUUCUCUAGUUAUAACUUCAGCAACGACCGCACAAUAGCAAUACACAGCGGUCUACAUCUCCACACACAAACCUCAACCAAAAAGCCACAAAUAAUGCUCAGAACAGCACAUAAGUACAUAUAGGGUCCCAGGGUACUAGCCAUUAAACAUAUUUUUAGCUUUGCCUGGUUUCCUCAGCAAAGAGACUAAACACACAGAGUGCAAAUGUUCUUCCUGGAGCUGCGAGAUUCCGCUGCACUCUGUGAUCGACUCGUCAGGGCUCCCCCACAAACAAGCGGCUGCUGGAGGAGAGUGGGUGAGUUGUGUUUGGUCUCUUUGCUAAAGAAAUUAGGCAAAGCUAAAAAUAUGUUUGAUGGCUAGUACUAUGGCUGGGACCCCAUAUGUUCUGAGCAUUAUUUGUGGCUAUAGAGCGGCAUUUUGGUUGAGUUUUGCGCGUGGAGACCUAGACCGCUGUGUAUUGCUAUUGUGCGGUCAAUACUAAACUUGGUAUAACUAGAGAAGCAAGCAGACGUCAGCAUUCACAUCUCGAGGGGGUGUCUAACUCAGUGUUAUGAUGUGUUUAACUAUGACUUAAAUUUAUGCCGGAAUAUCCCUUUAAUGCAGCUUGUGCUGUGAUAUAUCUUCUUGUCUUUACUCAGAUAAGUUGGUCACCUCCAGCUAAGCUCAGUUUGUUUUAAAACUGGUGGUUUAUGCCAUGUCUAGAGUCAGGGGCUGUUUCCCACUCAAUAGUGUUAAUAGAACUGUUGCAUGUUAUGCACCUCAUUGGACAAAAAGAUUAAAAACCCACAGUAGUCUUCUCGUGUUGUUUCUCCAGUUUCAAAAAUAAAUAAAUAAACUGCCAGAUUAGCAUAUUCCUAUAAACACUGUUACUGCCGUAAACUUAGUGUUACUAUAGUGUUGCAUUAGGCAUCCUCACAGGUUGUUUAACAGUUUAUUAGGCAAAACCCUCUAAGAGCACUUCAUAUUCCCGGUAUACGAUGUCCAUUCACAGACUGCAUGUUUGCACCGGUGAAUGAACAUGAACAGUGUAGGCCUCUUUUUUUUGUCUCUGCAUCUCAAGUGCGCUGUAGGUUGAUGAGUGUUGAGAUUAUCCUCCACAGUUGCGAGGAAUCAAUCGUCCCCAAAAUCCACCAUUAUGCAGUUAAAUCACAUUAAAAUCAAUCAAUAGAAACUUGAUUUCCCCUUUGCAUUUGGAGGUGAUCCCAAGAGCUUUCUGACUCCUCCUCCUGACAAGCACAGCUUGGGGCCUUGAAGUGAACAUCCGUUGCUUUCGUUGAGCGGUCCAGUCAGUUUUCUCCUUAGAAAAAAAAAAAAAAAAAAUCAAGAAAAUUCAAAAAAUUUAAUUCAAUCCAGUAAAUCUUAAAAAAUGUCAACAACAUCCCAAAGCAAGCUUUUUCCCCAACAGCAAAAAUCAAGAAUUUGAAUUCAGCGUUGGUUUUGGAUUAUUCCAUCCUUUUACUUCAUCCAUGAAUGUUUAUAUCCAGGGUGUAGCUACUUGUCUCCCUCUUGGUCUUUGAGUUUUUCAGGGAAUUUCCAGUUUUGAUUUUACUGCAGCAGCUGAACUCAUGACCCAGCAUCUUUAGCGAGGCCUUCUCAGUCCCAUGAUGUCACCAAGCUUCUGUCGAUGAGCUUGAGUUCCUCCUGAUGUAAUAGAAACAAAGAAAAAUACAAUGAAAUUAGUGACAAAAUGAGGAGAACAGAUGUUUUCAUCAUGCACUUUAUUACUCUGCCCACCUCAUGACACACUCAGAGCCCUUAACACUCGCACCUGCAUACAAUCACAAAAACAAUGUACCUGACAGUGCAACACAGCAGGCCAAACAAGUGCAGGCAUUAGCGACCUCAGAUGUGGGAAUCACCCCCUUUGUUACCCGCAUAUACAUUUCUUCGCACUAUUUCUCCAUCCGUCAAUUACUCGCAUACUUAAAGCCGUAGUCAUUAGUCGCCCUCACCCUCCCUCCCUUAAUGAGAAAGCAAUUACCAUGAGCUUCUCCCCAGUCCCAGUGGCCUGGCAGCGCUGUCCGAAAACCUGCCUCCCCACCUGCCUUCAGCUCGGAAGCUGCUUCGCUCUCAGAUUCGCUUCUCUUCCCUUGUACCUCUUCUCCCUUUCACCGUGGCUGCGGACUCUCUCUCUUUCUCCAUCCUCUCUGCAGCCCUCUCUCUUUCGCUCCUCCCAUCUCUGAGCUCUAGGCUGCUCGGGGUUUUAGACGGAUCACUCUCACAAUGGUUGAUCAAUACAGGUAUUGAUCCACUGGCAAAAUGUUUAUAAAAUCAUUCUGGGCAGCUGCAGUGCAGUGGGGAGGGGAGGCGGGGCGAUGAGAGGGCCAGCAUGCCAUGCCAUUCGCCUGUGAAAGAGCCAGCACGACCCGAUUGGCUGUCGGUCUACCCGCCUUGCCAGGAAGAGGGCUGGCAUAGUCUGCGUUUCUUGAUCAUUGUUGCUCGGUACACCACAGCCCUCCCUGGCUUACGCUGCGAUUCUUUCCAGACCAACAAAGCAGAGUGCGGCUGUUUAACCUUUUCGCUGCUCGACGUUGCGGUGGUACCCGCUCCCCUCCUCUUGCAUCGGCCAAGACAUUAAUUUACAUAAAUUAGCAAGCUGCGGGCAAUCCCAGUCUAAUGAUCCGCUGUCGUUUCAUCUCCCCCUUACUCCCCUAUCUUAACGAGAAAACACUCCCUCUUGCUAAUUCUGCGUCGGUUCUUCCCUAUCCACAUGCCCACCUCUAACAUCGUGCCCAUUUUACCAGUAUGGAUGAACACUCAUACACACCACAAAUUCAAAGUAUGAACAAAUAUAGGGGAUAUGCUCAUAUGCUGGCAAUGUGCAAAGGAAUUAUAAAAGAACAGCUACCUCAGUCAUGUCUCUGCUGAACUGUCGUCUGGGAACAGGGAGCAGUCUGGGGACAAGACUUCCCCCUGGCUCCAGUCUUUGUUUCUCUUUACGGGGAUCAUUAGCAACAUUAGCGGCAGCGCACCAACCACAGCAGGCAGCAGAAAACACUCUCUACUCUACUUCACUUGGGAAUGCUACUAGCAGGCCAGCUAACACAAAUACUCGAACACUUAAAUGCACUUCUACAAGCUCGCAGAUUCAAGUGGCAUUGUUUAUCAAAGGCUUUGUAAUCCUGGGAGGAGAUUUGGCUUAUGUUUUGUUGAGUGAUGAUUUAUGAGGAGUGUCUUUACACAGAGAAGAUAAUUGCAAUGUGGAGAGGAGUGUGGUGUAACUUUUUCCAGAAUCACAACUCUUGUUGAACCAGACUAACAUCUGUCAGCCAUAAGGCCCCGACAGCCUCUGUGACCCAGAGUCAACCUCGCCCCUCUGGGGUGUGUGUGGCUUCGUCUGUCCCCCCCUUUCUUUGCUGGCACCAUACUCCCGACCCAGAUGCCCAGAUGUCAGCCCACACCACAGAGUCUAACCCAUCCUCUAUCCAAGAAUACUGUCAAGCUAUUUAUGACGGUAGCUGUUUGAGUGUUGCAUUCUUUUUAAUUAGAUACAGGACUCGCCUCUGGAUCUUCUGAGGUCUGAUCCAGUUCAGUAAACAAACAUGGCAUCCCAGGAAUACGAUCAGCACUCAUGUAAACACGCAGACAGACAGACAGACACAUGGCUCCAGCGGACACAUGUAGGAAGUGUCACUCACACAUACGCUGCCGAGCGGUAAUUACUCUAACACAUCCAGAACUGGCCACAGCCCAUUCAUUACCAUAACAUGUUGUAAUGAAGUUUAAUCCCUCAUCAUGUUGUCUGUGGUCGGGGAGCACUGUGUGGCUCCAGAUGUCUCACAGGCUGUCUCUCUUUACUGUAGCACUCAACAGAAGACAUGACAUUCAGUACCAAACUCUGGCCUAUGUGCCUUUUUUUUCUAAUCUCGGCUUUUCUUUCCUCCUGUAAAUCCAGCACAGCCUCAUCUAUCUUUGUUUCUAUCCCUCUCUCUUUUCCUGUUUCCCCCCUCCUCAUACCUCAGCAUCUCUAAGAGAGCGUGCUACUUAUUUCAUCUGAAUGCAGCGGCGUCUCAAAAGCGUGGCCCUCGUUUCAGCAUGGGCACGUAACCCAUCUCUUUUGUUUUUUUUUCCCUUCCCCUCCUGCUCCUUCAUUGGAAGACAUUUUGUUCUCACUCUGAUGCCAUUAUGUCAAUCACUGCAGACAUGUGGUGAUGUGUGAACGCAGCUGCGAAAAGGAGUCUUGGCAAGCAGUGAUUGUUAGACACAGGGGAGUUUCAAUCUGUUAAUGUAAAGAGGAGCCUAUGUGCCUUUUUUCUUGCAUAUGAUUGUCAUCUUUCAGUCCUUGUGUAAACAUGGAAGUUUGGAGGUUUUAAUCCGUGUUAGCGCGCAGAAUAUGUCAGAAUCCCCUUGCCUCGACUGGAUGACAAUACAGAGCAUAAACAAGUAGCAGGUUGCUCCCACUGUUGUAUGAAUGGGAAGAGUCGGGCCACAAGCUUCCUGUAUCUUUUUCUCUGCCAGCCAUCCUCUUUGUACAGCAGUUGCAGUUAAUGCAGCCGCUGGAUUGGCCUCUUUCCUUGCUCUGCUUUUAUUGAUUUCAGCCAGACACAGAGACAGACAGAAAGAAAGGGCCUUUUCAGGAAGAAGUUAAAUGGUCAAGUAGCGGGCGGAGAGUGGCUUUCACCACUUUAUUGACGAGGUGGAAAAAUGUCACUAUUAUGGAGGCCCUUGCAGCAGAUAGCGAGCUGAUUGGAUGAGUGCCCCCGGGUCAGAGUGGAGCACGUUUCCCCUGCAGCCAAACGAGAGCAAAUAAAAGGGCAGAGGAAUCCGCUUGAACCGGAGGUGAGGUUUCUCUCUUCCAGGCCUCUCUUUGGGCAACAUUUCUUUGGGUGUAGAAGGCAAGGUACUCGGAGUCUGGACUGAGGGCUGAUCUCUGCUCCCGUCUUCCCUCUGAACUCUCCUCUCAAAGCAUGCUGGGUUUGCUUGUAACAUCCCCUACCUCUAAGGACAACCACAUCUUCCAUGUUACACACAGGAGUGGAACUGAUGUGGAGGUUACAGUUAGAUAAUCUGAGGCAAAAAUGUAACAGUGUUCUGAAUUUGCAGUUACAGCUUUAAAUGUCAUUUUUUUUGCCAUUAAACACAAUCUCACAAUUUUCCAAUCAGCAUAGUAAACAUUAAGACCAAUGUUAAGACCACAAAGAAAACUCUCAUCUAACAUUGUAUUAAUUCAAUAUUGAACUGUCUCAACAGUUGGCCUCUCUUACUCUGAUGGUCAUUUGACAAGUAUCUGUUUCCCUGGUUACCAAGGUGACCCCAUCCAGCUAAGGAUGAAACUGGAGCAGAAAGUCAGCACCUUAAAGAACAGUACAUGCAAGCGGCUAAUGAUACCUUUUUUUUCCACUUCAUUUCAUUUCAUAUACUUUAAUUGUCCCCGUAGGAAAAUUUGUCAACCACUAGUUUACGGUUUCUCAGCCACAUGCACUUUCACUAACCUAAUACAGACGACUGAUAGUCAACUUCUAUUUAACCAUCGGGAUGAGCUCAUGCCAUUGGAACAGUGUGACAGAAAAUGUUAGCGGUUUUGAAAGUGCAAGUUUUUCAAACUACCUUGACUGGCCCGUGCCUUCAUUUAUCUCAGUCGUGACGCCGUCGUUGAGACUUUUAGAAAGUUUUGCGUGUAAAUGAACUUCUCAGGAAUUAAAUAUUCUAUGAAGGCAGGUGCACUCCCGGUUCACAAAAUUAAAAAGGAUGUCAGAAUUUUGAUUGGAGUCGGAGAAAGACAAAGAUUGAUGACUGCAGAUCAGAAGACAAAAAGAAAAGCCUGGCAGAAAUGUUCUCCUCUGAAAGUAGUCUAAAAAUAAAAUCAGGCUUUGGAUCUGAGUUAUGGGACUCUUAAGGCCCCCUCACAGGGACAGAGUUGCGAGUCCUUACUAAUGGCUGAGGGUUCAGAUAGAAGCCACUCUCGGGCCCUGCCUUCUGACGUCAAUCAGUCUAAUUAGCCCGGUGCAUCAUCUGGCUGGCCUCUCCUUGCAGCAAAAGACAGACCUCAGGAAAGGUCAGCGUGCCACAGCGGAGACAGAGCAGUGCUUAAUCAGAGGUGAAAUGGUUUCUUUUACAAAUUGAUUCCAGUUUGAGUCAGACAACAGAGGUUUGUGUUGAGCCACUUGAAGGCGGCUUUUAAGAGGGCCUUUAAUUCAAGAACUUAACAAAUACUAACUGUUCUGGUGACAUCUGGAUCGGGGCCCCAAGAGCAGCGGGUCAUAUGAAAGAUCUGUUUGUUUCUCUAUCUUUUCUCUUUUUUCCUCGCUGUUUAUCUCUUUAUCUGCAGCUCUGCAUGGGGCGCAAAAUCAUUCACAUGUGGCUACAAAUACUCCAAACUGAGAAAAUUCAUGCAAACUCCACGGGAAACUUUGUCUCCCCACAUAGCAAGAAAAAAAACAAAAAAUGAAGAACCCCUUUUUGCCAAUGUUGACACAAAACAGUACGAAAUAAAUAUUUUGUCUUCCCCUUCACAAAGUAAACUAAGUACCAUUAACACUGGACCCCUGAGGCGUUUUAUAUUUUUACACCCUCUUUAAAACUCUUUUUACAACAGCCUUGUCACAGCCAUGUAUACAUAUGAGGGAACAUCUGAGACUGCCCACACCCACACACACACACACAUGCACUCACACAUCUACUGCACACUGCACAUUCACCAACUCCCUUAUGCUGAAUGCAUAAUAUAUGUAAUGAAAUAAUGUUUCCAGUGGGGAUGGUUGUAGCUGGGGGAUGGAGACGUGGAGUGAAUAUCAAUGUGGCUCCCCCCCAGACUCCCUGGUUCAAUUGGUGUGAUGGUGGGGGGUAAAUGAAUAUGUGGGAGUGAGAGAAGCUUUAUCCUUUCGCCCAAAGCUACAGUGAGAAGUCCACGCAGAA